CUGUGUGUAAAUAACUUCGCAGGCUAAGUGUCUUGAAAGUGGAGAAACAGUAGCUAUCAAAAAGGUGUUGCAGGAUAAGAGAUACAAAAAUCGUGAACUGCAGACGAUACGCCUUCUUGAUCACCCCAAUGUUGUUUCACUCAAGCACUGCUUCUUUUCUACCACAGACAAGGAUGAGCUUUACCUCAAUUUAGUUCUUGAGUAUGUGCCUGAGACAGUGUAUCGUGUGACAAGACACUAUAGCAAAGCAAACCAGCGGAUGCCUAUGAUUUAUGUCAAGCUUUAUACAUAUCAGAUUUUCAGAGCUCUUGCAUAUAUUAAUGGGAUUGGAGUCUGCCACAGGGACAUCAAACCUCAAAAUCUUCUGGUCAAUCCACACACUCAUCAGCUCAAACUCUGUGAUUUUGGAAGUGCCAAAGUUUUGGUAAUGACAAUAUGAUAUAGUUUUCCUGAGCGAUUGAAUUAAUGCCUUGCUGACAUUGAAAAAAUUUGUUCCCAAACCAACCAGUGAACCAUAUAAAUUUAUUUGUGUGAAACUUUCUUUGAAGGACGAAUUUUUUUUAUUAUGAUUUGAAUGGAACUUUCGAGUUGUUCAAAUAUGGUGCACUAACCAAUUUGUAAGCAGUUCUUAAGAUUUUAUCAUCAUUG